rnacentral:rRNA from 1 species
ACAUACGACCAUAGGUACAAGAAUACUGGGUCUCUCGUCCGAUCGGCCUUACAUAAGCUUGUAACCGGCGAAUUAGUACUCAGGUGGGUGACCACUGGGGAAUCCUCGCUGUUGUAUG